UACGUAGGGGGCAAGCGUUGUCCGGAUUUAUUGGGCGUAAAGAGCGUGUAGGCGGCCAGGUAGGUCAGCUGUGAAAACUCGAGGCUCAACCUCGAGACGCCGGUUGAAACCAUCUGGCUAGAGUCCGGAAGAGGAGAGUGGAAUUCCUGGUGUAGCGGUGAAACGCGCAGAUAUCAGGAAGAACACCCGUGGCUAAGGCGGCUCUCUAGUACGGUACUGACGCUGAGACGCGAAAGCGUGGGGAGCGAACAGG
rnacentral:rRNA from 1 species